rnacentral:misc_RNA from 1 species
UACGAGUGCCCCAAGCGUUAUCCGGAAUCAUUGGGCGUAAAGGGUGUGUAGGCGGUUAUGUUAGUCUCAUGUUAAAGCCUCCGGCUCAACCGGAGAAUCGCAUGGGAAACGGCAUAACUAGAGGAUGCAAGGGGUGUGCGGAACUCAUGGUGUAGGGGUGAAAUCCGUUGAUAUCAUGGGGAACACCAAAAGCGAAGGCAGCACACUGGUGUAUUCCUGACGCUGAGACACGAAAGCGUGGGUAGCGAAUGGG